CACUUAAGAACUUUUCUGCAAAGGAGCCAGAGACUCUACACACUAAGGCACCAGGGUGCAACACUCCAGCCCUAAUAAGCCAGAACUAAGGAGAAGUAGACUCUGAGUACAGCUCAAUUGAUCUCACCAAAAACAGCGAUCUGAUCAAGUCAUCAUGCCAUAAGACCUUCAGGGUCUCCAUCCUCUGGUCACAGCAUACUCUCGAGCUCCUCUUCACCUUCUGCUCUACCAGAUACCCACAUGCCGGCAGUGGGUGAGCAGAGGGCCACACUGCCAUUCUCACUGAGAUAGCUGUUUGUUGUGGAGGACUGUCCUAUGCAUAUAUUCCACCAAAAAAAAAUGUAUACACACUUCAGGAAAAGAAAAAUGGCAUGAUGUUUUUCUACAGAUAUCAUUGCCUUUGCCUGAGGACCCCUAGAGGAUGUCAUAUAUCACAGAAAGGCCACUACACUGCCAGCCCUUCGAGAAGAAAUUGAAAAUGCACGUGCAGCCAUCUCAAUGACCAAGGUUACCCAAGCAGUGG
rnacentral:lncRNA from 1 species